GUUUUCCCCCUGCAGUCUCACACCAUUUUGCUGGUACAGCCUACCAAGAGGCCAGAAGGCAGAACUUAUGCUGACUAUGAAUCUGUGAAUGAAUGCAUGGAAGUUACCGAGCUGAUACCCAGACAUACCAGCCUUAUAACAAAGACUGGAUUAAAGAGAAGAUCUACG
rnacentral:sRNA from 1 species